AGAAUUGAUUUCCUACUUCUGCUCAUACAGGGCACGACGGAGAGCUCAAACGUGGAUUUCCAUUUUGGGUCUCCUAUUUCAAAGGGUGUAUGAGGCAGGGCAGAGAGAUCCCCCGGGAAAGCAGUUGGUCUUUGAAUAUGGACCACUGGACCCAAGAAAGCUGCUGGAUCAUUUAUCAGACAGGUUUUGAAACCAAGAAAGAGGACAUCAUCUGUCUGAGAAGUUAUCAUCUCACUGCCCAUUCUUCCCUACCCCAUCCCUGCCCAACAUGAACACAUUUCAAUCUAAACCUGGAAAUAGUAUGACAAGGUCUAGUGACUUCAAAGUAAAGGCGAACUAAGUUCUCUCUUCCAUUGACAAGCUACAUGUAAAGUUUGUUUCAUGCCUCAGUAAGAUUACUAAAUUCCACUUAGCUUCUUCCAAUGAGGUCUUUCCACACGUGCCAAUUACCUCCCAAUUAAUACAAUCAAGUAACCACCUUAUAAACAACUUUUAAUUUUGAAUGUCAGGUUAACAUUUUUCCUCAUUCUCUUCCACCCAUCGUUUCAUGAAAUUUCAAGGCUUGAGCUUUCUCCACUUCCUCUGUCACUCAGUUUAAGACUAGGCAGGGCUGGGGCAGUGAGGAACAUUUCUGUGAACAGCUGAUGAAGGGCUUGUGUCUGCUUAUUUCUGAAAUGAACUAGUCUCAUGUAAGCAACAAGGUUUAACAUGAUUUUGUGUUUUUUUUGGUACCAGGGAUCAAACUCGGGACCUUGUGCUUGCAAGGCAGGUGGCAGCACCACUGAGCUAAAUCCCCAG
rnacentral:lncRNA from 1 species